UACGUAGGGCGCAAGCGUUGUCCGGAAUUAUUGGGCGUAAAGAGCUCGUAGGCGGUUUGUCGCGUCUGUCGUGAAAGCUUGGGGCUUAACCCUAAGUCUGCGGUGGAUACGGGCAGACUAGAGGCAGGUAGGGGAGAACGGAAUUCCCGGUGUAGCGGUGAAAUGCGCAGAUAUCAGGAGGAACACCGGUGGCGAAGGCGGGUCUCUGGGCCGAUACUGACGCUGAGGAGCGAAAGCGUGGGGAGCGAACAGG
rnacentral:rRNA from 1 species